UACGAAGGGGGCUAGCGUUGUUCGGAAUCACUGGGCGUAAAGGGCGCGUAGGCGGUGCGGCAAGUCUCUUGUGAAAUCUCCGGGCUCAACUCGGAGCCUGCAGGAGAAACUGCCGUGCUUGAGUGGUGGGAGGGGUGAGUGGAAUUCCCGGUGUAGCGGUGAAAUGCGUAGAUAUCGAGAGGAACACCUGCGGCGAAGGCGGGUUGCUGGGCUGACACGUGACGCUGAGGCGCGAAAGCUAGGGGAGCGAACGGG
rnacentral:rRNA from 1 species